AAGAAUCGCCCCGUUUUUUGAAAUGGGUUCUAUUCCCAAACCGUGUAUAACAUACCUUUGUUGCUUUGGCAGGCCGCCUCCGGGCGUUGGCUCCGGCUAACUGCGCCUGCCAAAGGACCCAAACUCGUUGUUUAGUGAUGUCUGAGUACUAUAUAAUAGUUA
rnacentral:misc_RNA from 1 species